ensembl:lncRNA
GGGAGGGACCGACACAGGGAAGAUAAUCAAGGAGGAGUCCAGGUGAGGGACCGACACAGGGAAGAUAAUCAAGGAGGUGAUGGAGACCAGGUGAGUGACAGAUAUAGGGAAGAUAAUCAAGGAGGUGAUGGAGACCAGGUGGGUGACAGAUAGAGGGAAGAUAAUCAAGGAGGUGAUGGAGUCCAGGUGAGUGACAGAUAUUGGGAAGAUAAUCAAGGAGGUGAUGGAGACCAGGUGAGUGACAGAUAUUGGGAAGAUAAUCAAGGAGGUGAUGGAGACCAGGUGAGUGACAGAUAUAGGGAAGAUAAUCAAGGAGGUGAUGGAGACCAGGUGGGUGACAGAUAGAGGGAAGAUAAUCAAGGAGGUGAUGGAGUCCAGGUGAGUGACAGAUAUUGGGAAGAUAAUCAAGGAGGUGAUGGAGUCCAGG